rnacentral:lncRNA from 1 species
GCCAUCUGUAACAUCCCAAAUUUUCAAACCUUUACAUGUGCAUUGCAUCCAUGAGCAUCAUGCCACAAUUGCAUGUUUGAAUUCAAAUUUGAAUCACAAAAGGCUUUAAAAGAUUUUGUUUACGCCUAAUUGAGCCUUGGAUUUUCAAACCAUUAAAGUUAUAUAUAUAAGGGGUUUAUUGCACAUAUGAGCUAUCCCAUAAUUUUGGGAUAAUUAUUUGGAGUUGAAAAAGUAUUUUAUUUAAAUGGAUAUAUAGCCCUAAGGGCAUUUAUAGGGCAAAUGUAUUUUUAUAUAUUUUAUUUUGAAGAGAAACUACUUCCAAAAGUUGUAUCAUGGUAGAACAAGAUUUUACAAAUUUUCUAGAAUUCAUUUGGACCAAUUUGGAGUUCAAACUCAAAAGAUAUCAAAGAAAUGGGAAAACCAGAAAAAGAAAAGGUCUAAAAGAAAAAAAAGAAAGAGGUAAACGGACCGGCCCGGCCGAAUUGGGCCGAACCGGCCCAACUCCCCCGCGCGCGCCACAGCCCAGCCGGCCCAGCCGCCC